AACGCACAUUGCGCCCCUCGGUAUUCCGGGGGGCAUGCCUGUUCGAGCGUCAUUACACCACUCCAGCCUCGCUGGUUAUUGGGGGCCGCGGGCGUCACAGCCCGCGCCCCCUAAUGUCGCCGGCCGAGCCGACCGUCCCUAAGCGUUGUGGCAACAGUUCGCUUGCGGGUGCGGGGCGGUUCGUCGCCGUUAAACCUCUUCUCUCAGGUUGACCUCGGAUCAGGUAGGGAUACCCGCUGAACUUAA
rnacentral:misc_RNA from 1 species